AUUGAACGCUGGCGGCAUGCCUUACACAUGCAAGUCGAACGGCAGCACGGGUGCUUGCACCUGGUGGCGAGUGGCGAACGGGUGAGUAAUACAUCGGAACAUGUCCUGUAGUGGGGGAUAGCCCGGCGAAAGCCGGAUUAAUACCGCAUACGAUCUACGGAUGAAAGCGGGGGACCUUCGGGCCUCGCGCUAUAGGGUUGGCCGAUGGCUGAUUAGCUAGUUGGUGGGGUAAAGGCCUACCAAGGCGACGAUCAGUAGCUGGUCUGAGAGGACGACCAGCCACACUGGGACUGAGACACGGCCCAGACUCCUACGGGAGGCAGCAGUGGGAAAUUUUGGACAAUGGGCGAAAGCCUGAUCCAGCAAUGCCGCGUGUGUGAAGAAGGCCUUCGGGUUGUAAAGCACUUUUGUCCGGAAAGAAAUCCUUGGCCCUAAUACGGUCGGGGGAUGACGGUACCGGAAGAAUAAGCACCGGCUAACUACGUG
rnacentral:rRNA from 1 species